rnacentral:rRNA from 1 species
GACGAACGCUGGCGGCGUGCUUAACACAUGCAAGUCGAACGGAAAGGCCCUGCUUGCAGGGUACUCGAGUGGCGAACGGGUGGGUAACACGUGGGUGAUCUGCCCUGCACUUCGGGAUAAGCCUGGGAAACUGGGUCUAAUACCGGAUAGGAGCCAUUUUUAGUGUGAUGGUUGGAAAGUUUUUUCGGUGUAGGAUGAGCUCGCGGCCUAUCAGCUUGUUGGUGGGGUAAUGGCCUACCAAGGCGGCGACGGGUAGCCGGCCUGAGAGGGUGGACGGCCACAUUGGGACUGAGAUACGGCCCAGACUCCUACGGGAGGCAGCAGUGGGGAAUAUUGCACAAUGGGCGCAAGCCUGAUGCAGCGACGCCGCGUGGGGGAUGACGGCCUUCGGGUUGUAAACUCCUUUCGCUAGGGACGAAGCUUUUUGUGACGGUACCUAGAUAAGAAGCACCGGCUAACUACGU